GUGGUGGUAAUGCUUGCUUACUGGGUUACACACUAGAGUGGCUUUCUCACUCUGUAAAACCUAGGGGAAGGUCUGAGACAAAGGCUAUACAACCUCCUAGCAGGGGGCCCUCAUAAAAGAGGGGUGGGGAACCCAGAAAUAGGCUCCCUCAGGCUCUGCAUGAGAAACCUAUGGUAGAUGCAAUAGUGCCUGAUGUGGAGUUGGAAAUUCCCAUGGCCAGCUAUUUAAGUAUGAUUAGCAAGGUGGCACUGUCAUAACUCAAUUCAGACUACUCUACCCCCAC
rfam:Crassostrea gigas strain 05x7-T-G4-1.051#20 contig29740, whole genome shotgun sequence.